UAUGUUACAGUGCUCUAGGUGGGACGCGGCCAUUUCCGCGCGUUAAAAAACAUCAUCGCGUCUGUCGUAUAUUAUAAUAUGGUUGUGUAAUUGUUCGGCGGUGGCGAUCCCGUUCUCGAAGCUGAUCGAGGUCCGUUUCGGGAGUCCGUCGCGGUUCCGUUUGGCUUUCCGCGCAACGGCGUCAUCGGUAAAUCGCGUAAAACAAAACGGAAACGCCUUGGGAAAUGCGCGUACGAUACAAUGUCUGAACGGCGACGCGAGUGUCAACGCAAGUCUGAACCGUACACGAACGUGGAAAGUAAAAUGUUCGAACAUUGUAGUAGCUACGUAUGCGGUCCAUAUAGCUAUUCAAAUAUUUUCGCUUUCCGAUUUGUACGUUCCGGGAUUUUAAUUUGUAUAGAUGCACCGACCGUUUGCAAAGGCAAACUUAUCGAUAUUACUUAUUUACGAUUCUUCCUAUCGGAAUCUAUCUGAUUCGAUGUCUCUUUCCAGUCGUUCGAUACUCUUGUUCACAUUCGUCAUUCGCAUGUCACGAUAAUUACGGAAAAAAAAAAAAAUGCCGAGCUCUACCCAGAAGGAAAAAGACCAACUCUUGGAAGACUCGUUUGAGAUGGGAAGACGCGAUGUGCGCAGAGACGCGAAAUCUUUAAGUAUGGACAGUCACGCUGUAAUUUAAGCGCAGCCUACAGAGAUUGCAGGGGAUGUGUAACGGAAUCGUCAUUGUAUAAUGACCCCGAAAAGAAGAACGAGAAACGUGUUAGUAAUAUAAUAUGCAAUACAAUUUAUUGCAGUAUACCCGGAGGUCGUCUGGCAAAUAUGUUUUCAGUAAUAAAAAUCGUUAUUUAUUAUAGUAUCGUCAUCGUUUUAAUACUGAAAAAUCGCCCCCGAUUAUCAAAUGAUAUUUUACGACUUCGUGCAUUAUAAAGCGAUGCGUUUAUAUUUGUACAAAUCGAUUGCGAAUUCGAUUAUAAUAUUCACUUUUAUUAUGUCUUCUCGUCGUGAAUUUUUUAUUACACACGCGCUAUGUACUGUACUUAUAUAUUAUUAACUUGUACAAUAGCCGGGUGGUCAUUCAUUCGUCUCGUGUACACCUAAUACACCAUUAAUUGCCGACGCGAGACACGAAGCGCGGACCUCCCCGUAAAAACGAUGUCACUAAAUCGUAAACUCGGACCCCCGCAGGCAUGUAGUAUACGUGUUAGAUAUAACAUGUUAACAAUCUAUUAACGUGUGUUGAAUAUUAUACUGUUAUCUAACGCUGCUACGCUAUGUAAAUAUAUAGGUAGGUACAGCAACGAUGUGUCGACGUUCCGGUUUCGUCGUCCUUAUCGGGACUCGAGUCAACAGAUGCCGGUCACGCGAUGUCUUGCUGGAAACCGGCGGCGGUACUCGCAUACAAAUAAUAUACUAUCGUUACGAAAUUCUGGGAAAAAUUAUAAUUUGGUCUUUAAAUCAUUGGACCCGAGAAAAGAGGGCAUUGGUGACUUUCAUAAAA